rnacentral:lncRNA from 1 species
GUUGCUAGGAGCGGCAGCCUCCCGCAGCGCGCUCUCUGAUUGGCCCGCAGUCCGUCACCUCAGGCCAAUCAGACGCCAGUGCGUCCGCCAUGAGAAUCCAUGAUGUUCUUUUUGUUUCUUUCAUCAAUUUAUCAAAACUACGAUUCAUCAUCAGGCUGAUCAGAUCACCGCGCAUGCUCACAUCUACCGGGGUGGCAUCUAAAAGAAAGCCUUGCCUCCCCAGUUGGCAGCAACGAAUCCAAAGAAAAGUUAUGGCCAAUUUGACAUCUACGAGCGCGAAUCUCCAAUGUCCGACUGCUGUGAAUGCAGCACGAGAUGACGUCAGAGCAAGAGACGCUUCGUUUGGAAAACUGAGUGGCGCGAAGCGAAGAGCAGGAGUCGCGAGGAAAGGAGACACGGGAGGAAAGAGAAAUGAAGAGGAAAGGUAGCAUAUGAAGUGAGCAAGGUAGAAGGAGGAGAUGAGGUGGAAGGAGAGAGAGAAAGGCGACCAGGGAGAGGAGGAGGAGGAGGGAGAACACCACAGCGAUGAAGAUACGAGGAGGGAGAGCAACACCGAGAUGAGGAGGAGAAAGAGAGAGACAAGAUAACGUGCAGGGCUCAGACACUGAAAGGGAAAGCAGAGUGCUGAGCAUCACCAACCAUCUCUAGUCCAGCUGCUCCACAUGGUGUGGACAUUGUUGCUGUAUAGUAAACUAAGUUACAUAUCAAUAAGAACAACACGUGACAAAAACGGACAUUUUGAUCAGAACAUUAAGGUGCAUUUAGGAAAAAGUGCUUAAAUGCAAAAGGGACUUCUUCAAAUAAAUAUACAUAUUCAUGUUUGCUUGAAUAUGAAUAAUUGUGGAAACUUGUAAGUGAAAGUGUGAUGAGAUGGGGACAGAGUUUUAAUAUUCUGUGUACAAUGUAUUUUAGUUCUAUUGCUCAGCUUAAAUUCCCAAAUUAAAUAAAUGAACCUAAAAAUACUCUCCCAGGCUAAAAUGUUAGUGUGUGUUAACACAGUCUGAUGGUUAUAACUAAUCAAUGAUGGUUCUACAUUGAUUGUGUUUUUACUAGUUAUAUUCUAUAAUGAGUUGAGAUGUAAUGCAGUUUUAAUGUUUCCUCCCCUCCAUCUUCUAGACGUAUCCAUGUCCAGGUGUGAGGUGCCAGUGCAGCCAAAGCAAGAGAGUUUCCCUGAGUCCCUCCAGGAGCAGGAGAAUCUUCUGCAGCCACUGGUACAAAUCUCACCUGGUUAGAAGACUCGCAGUCCAAACAUGCAGCGCACUGUUUUGCUUGUAGGCAUUUUUCCCUCCCGAUGCUCCAAGGACUGUUUUCAUCUCAUUCAAGGGUUAUCGUAACUGGAAAAAAGCUGAAAUGAAAGACAGUGGUUUCUGUUUGUGGUCCCAGCUGUGACUUUACUGAGGUUCACCCAGUGUUAGCAGCAGGAGGACGGUCAGCUCACCUCCCAGAGCCUCCAGCUGAAUCACUGGACACUGAUUUAGGGACCGUCAUUAAAUUACUGAGCACAAAUAUAUUCAUACUAAAUAACUGCAGUUUUUUCUAUAUCUUCAAUGUCAUGUGACCCACUGACUCCAAACCAGCAGUAUAUAAGCAGCGGUAUUUAAAAAUAAAUUAGAUUCAACAAAUAUGUUUCUGCAUUGUGCCAUUUUUUGUAAGUCUCAAUCUGUCAUUUUUUUUUCAUAAAUCUCACCAGUAGUCUUUAUUUAAAGGGUUAUAUUUCAAAAUGCUCUAGAUUUUGUAAGUUAAUGACUCAGAGCACCGCUGCUACAAAUAUUUAUAGGGGAAAAACUGUGUUAUUGUUUUUUAAUGUCUCUUCUUUUACAUGUACAGUAUACAGCCUGUAUGAACCUACUCACACAAUGUUUCUGUACUUUUUCAGACUGGGGGCAAAAUGGACUUUUAUAUGACUUCUUUUCAGGUUGAUGGAGAUGUUCUUAUGUAACAUACCCUUUUGUAACUCUGUGAACCUUUUUGUGUAGUUUGUUGAUACAGCAGCUCAGAUUUACAUGCAUGAAAUGUCCCUUUCAUGUCUCCUUAACUGCUGUGAAUACUGUAUAUAUUGUACUGUAUUUCUCAUGACUUUAUCAGUAAAGACCUGACCUGUCAAACAUUGUUCAAGCUACUGAGGGACAAAUAGGGAGAAUGUGUGUUCUGAGUAAACAAUAAAAGCGAUGUCCAGC